rnacentral:rRNA from 1 species
GACAGAGGGUGCAAACGUGUUCGGAAUUACUGGGCGUAAAGCGCGUGUAGGCGGCCCUGCAAGUCGGAUGUGAAAUCCCACGGCUCAACCGUGGAAGUGCAUUCGAAACUGCAGGGCUAGAGUCCUGGAGAGGAAGGUGGAAUGCUUGGUGUAGAGGUGAAAUUCGUAGAUAUCAAGCGGAACACCGGUGGCGAAGGCGGCCUUCUGGACAGUGAC